CCCUUAGAUGUUCUGGGCUGCACGCGCGCUACACUGAAGCGUUCAACGAGUAUUCACCUUGCCCGGGAGGGUUGGGUAAUCUUUUGAAAACGCUUCGUGAUGGGGAUAGAUUAUUGCAAUUAUUAAUCUUCAACGAGGAAUUCCUAGUAAGCGCGAGUCAUCAGCUCGUGCUGAUUACGUCCCUGCCCUUUGUACACACCGCCCGUCGCUACUACUGAUUGGAUGUUUAAGCGAGGUUCUCGAACUGCUAGCGACUUAGCUUCGGUGAGGUCGCAGUGUGGGAAGUGAACCUAGCUUUGGUGUCUAGAGGAAGUAAAAGUCGUAACA
rnacentral:rRNA from 1 species